GCAGAGCGAGCCGCUCCCUCCCGGCCCGGCCCAGGCGGCAGGAGGAGCAGGGCGCGGAGCGCAGACAUGGCGGCCAACAUGUACCGAGUGGGAGAUUAUGUUUAUUUUGAAAACUCCUCAAGCAAUCCAUAUCUGAUCAGGCGAAUAGAAGAACUUAACAAGACUGCUAAUGGCAACGUGGAAGCAAAAGUUGUGUGCUUUUACAGACGACGAGACAUUUCCAACAGCCUUAUAAUGCUUGCAGAUAAACAUGCUAGUA